rnacentral:rRNA from 1 species
CCAAAAAGCGGAGGAAAAGAAACCAACAGGGAUUGCCUUAGUAACGGCGAGUGAAGCGGCAAAAGCUCAAAUUUGAAAUCUGGCACCUUCGGUGUCCGAGUUGUAAUUUGAAGAAGGUAACUUUGGAGUUGGCUCUUGUCUAUGUUCCUUGGAACAGGACGUCACAGAGGGUGAGAAUCCCGUGCGAUGAGAUGCCCAAUUCUAUGUAAAGUGCUUUCGAAGAGUCGAGUUGUUUGGGAAUGCAGCUCUAAGUGGGUGGUAAAUUCCAUCUAAAGCUAAAUAUUGGCGAGAGACCGAUAGCGAACAAGUACAGUGAUGGAAAGAUGAAAAGAACUUUGAAAAGAGAGUGAAAAAGUACGUGAAAUUGUUGAAAGGGAAGGGCUUGAGAUCAGACUUGGUAUUUUGCGAUCCUUUCCUUCUUGGUUGGGUUCCUCGCAGCUUACUGGGCCAGCAUCGGUUUGGAUGGUAGGAUAAUGACUAAGGAAUGUGGCUCUACUUCGGUGGAGUGUUAUAGCCUUGGUUGAUACUGCCUGUCUAGACCGAGGACUGCGUCUUUGACUAGGAGU